rnacentral:sRNA from 1 species
CAAGUUUAAGCUACACAUUAUGUUGGGAAGGGGGG